UACAGAGGGUGCGAGCGUUAAUCGGAAUUACUGGGCGUAAAGCGUGCGUAGACGGUUAUCUAAGUCGGAUGUGAAAGCCCCGGGCUCAACCUGGGAAUUGCAUUCGAGACUGAAUAGCUAGGGUGCGGUAGAGGGAAGCGGAAUUUCCGGUGUAGCGGUAGAAAUGCGUAGAUAUCGGAAGGAACAUCAGUGGCGAAAGCGGCUUCCUGGACCAGCACCGACGUCAGGCACGAAAGCGUGGGAGCAAACAGG
rnacentral:rRNA from 1 species